ensembl:snoRNA
CCUGCCUCAUUGCAGGUGUGGCUGCUGUGUCACAUGUGGGUCAGUAGGUGGCAGAGAGGAGAGAGGCUAUGUCUAUGCUCAGUGUUCUGACCUAUGAACAUCUGAAUGAUUAGUAGCCUAACAUU